CCCAUCCCCAGAUCCGGCAACUGGCCGCCGUCCUGCUGCGGCGGAGGCUCUUGGGCCGAUGGAAGCGCCUGGACCCGGCUCUGCGCCAGAGGCUCCCGACGCUAUUGGCCGAAGCUUUGGAGCGGGAGACUGAGCACACGGUGACGGUGG